rnacentral:misc_RNA from 1 species
UAGCAGAUACCAGGCGCUAAUGGACAUAAUAAACAUGGCGCCGGUGACAUAACCGGACAUGACGGUAUGGACGAAUUUCACCUGGCUCACCGGGUUAAAGACCAGAUCGCUGAAGCUGCUCAUUUCCAUCCGUAAUGUAUCGAUGUUGAAAUGAGCGCCGGUAGGAUACUGCAUCCAGCCAUUGGCAUUCAGAAUCCAUAAUGCUGAAAUAUUGGAGCCGAAGGCCACCAGCCAGGUGACCAGCAGGUGUUGGUAUUUAUUCAGCCGCUGCCAGCCGAAAAAGAACAGGCCGACAAAAGUGGAUUCGAGAAAGAAGGCCAGUAACGCUUCCAUCGCCAGCGGCGCGCCGAAGAUAUCGCCCACAUAGUUGGAAU